CGUAUUAGCUAGAUGGUGAGGUAACGGCUCACCAUGGCAAUGAUACGUAGCCGACCUGAGAGGGUAAUCGGCCACAUUGGGACUGAGACACGGCCCAAACUCCUACGGGAGGCAGCAGUAGGGAAUCUUCCACAAUGGACGAAAGUCUGAUGGAGCAACGCCGCGUGAGUGAAGAAGGGUUUCGGCUCGUAAAACUCUGUUGUUAAAGAAGAACAUAUCUGAGAGUAACUGUUCAGGUAUUGACGGUAUUUAACCAGAAAGCCACGGCUAACUACGUGCCAGCAGCCGCGGUAAUACGUAGGUGGCAAGCGUUGUCCGGAUUUAUUGGGCGUAAAGCGAGCGCAGGCGGUUUUUUAAGUCUGAUGUGAAAGCCUUCGGCUCAACCGAAGAAGUGCAUCGGAAACUGGGAAACUUGAGUGCAGAAGAGGACAGUGGAACUCCAUGUGUAGCGGUGAAAUGCGUAGAUAUAUGGAAGAACACCAGUGGCGAAGGCGGCUGUCUGGUCUGUAACUGACGCUGAGGCUCGAAAGUAUGGGUAGCAAACAGGAUUAGAUACCCUGGUAGUCCAUACCGUAAACGAUGAAUGCUAAGUGUUGGAGGGUUUCCGCCCUUCAGUGCUGCAGCUAACGCA
rnacentral:rRNA from 1 species